rnacentral:lncRNA from 1 species
CUAAAAAUUAUCAGUAUAACAUACAAAUAAUUGGGAGCAUCUCCUUUUUCAAUGCCUCACUUCAAUCAUGAAAGAACUUGCAAAGAUACUGUUGAAUGUGACCAGAUUACAAAAUUUAAUUCUCACUCAGAAACACUGAAAUGUUCCGUUUCAAAUUCCCAUCCCAUUUUACUUCUCCAUACUUUAAGGAUUUACAUUGGUAUUACAAAGGAUGUUAUGUGUCACUUGGACUUGGAGAAGUGCUGAAUUUGAGGCAGAUCCAUGGAAGGAUGUACUGUGCCCCCUUUGCCUGGUCACUGCUUGGCAGUGUGGAAAAAAAAUGAGUUCUGACUGAAAUGUUUGUAUGGCCCAGGUUGGAAAUGAAUUAACAACACACUGCAGUAAUUGAUUCUUUAGGGCUUGAAAGUGGGAAGAAAACAGCAGUUUGUGGCUAGAUAGGCACUUGCUAUGGUGAGGAAGCAGAUACAUAAAUGAAAUAAUACAUCCUUGCUGUAUGGAACGUUGUCUGGAGAGAUGGUUCUUUAAUUGUAUGUCCUAUAUGACUGUAGGACAAGGAAGUCCUGAAUUGAGAUUUCUAUUUGUUUACAUAAUAUAGAAUGGUGUUGGGGUUUCUCUUACUUUUUUCUAGGCAAAAGUGCAUGUUUCUUCCACAGUCAAAUAUUUAGGAUAUUAUAAAUAACUUCUCAGCAAUGCAUAGUUUCUUUGCAUGAAAAUGGGACGAUGUGAGUAAUGAAUGUUGACUUGGAAUUACAGCCAGUAUGGUAAUGAAAUAAAGCCCCAUUAGAUUUAAGUAAUUUGCAAAUUGAGGUUGUUAUCACAUAAAUAAUUGUAUCCCUGGCUGAUGUGAGGGAAGGGUCAUAUCAGUCAAUCAAGUAGGAAAAAAGACUUUUAAAGAAAUGUAAUCAAGCAUGGAUGUUAAAUUAUGGAUUAAUUCCAUACAUGCACAGCAGUAAAUUCCCACCAGUAGACAGCUGUCAAGGUUACCUAGAAAACUUUGCUACAUUUAUUUUCAAUGUGAUAAUUCUGCUCUUGUUCUACUUCUACAAAAGCUCCAGAAAACAUUGUGGAAAACCUAGAGGCACCAAAAGGGAGCCUUCAAUACAGAAACUAACUGCAAACCUCUGGAAACACUGAAGCUCAAAACAAUGAAAAUCUCUGCAGUUAUGGCAAAGCAGAGUAUCAAAGGACAGCAAAGUCACCCUGACAGGUCAGUAGUUUAAAGUAGCUAUAAAUAAAACCUGAAUUCUCCAGUUGUGCCA